GAUGAACGCUAGCUACAGGCUUAACACAUGCAAGUCGAGGGGUAACGAGAGGAAAGCUUGCUUUCCUUGUCGACGACCGGCGCACGGGUGAGUAACGCGUAUCCAACCUGCCCCCAACUAGGGAAUAACCUUGCGAAAGUAAGACUAAUACCCUAUAAUUUCCUCAGAUGUCAUCUGACGAGGAAUAAAGAUUUAUCGGUUGUGGAUGGGGAUGCGUCUGAUUAGCUUGAUGGCGGGGUAACGGCCCACCAAGGCAACGAUCAGUAGGGGGUUCUGAGAGGAAGGGGCCCCACAUUCGAACUGAGACACGGUCCAGACUCCGACGGGAGGCAGCAGUGAGGAAUAUUGGUGCAUGGGCGGAUGCCUGAGCCAUCCACGUAGCGUGCACGAUGACGGCCCUAUGGGUUGUAAACUGCUUUUAUACAGGAAUAAAGUUAGCCACGUGUGGUUAUUUGUAGGUAGUGUAUGAAUAAGGACCGGCUAAGUGCGUGCCAGCAGCCGCAGUAA
rnacentral:rRNA from 1 species